CAUCUCUCCUCUACGCACUCUCUCUCUCCUCCCCAAGCUGCUGACUGGCUCGCGAAGUCGCCAAGGGAUCAAUCGAGAUCUAAUCUCGUUUCUGAGAUGGGUGCAUCUACCGCCAUGGGAGCGCUCGAGCAGGCCCACCUCGCGGUCGUCGCUUCCGCAUGCGAUGAUGAUGAGCAAAACGACGCCGCAGACCUUGCACGACGGCGACGAACCCGUCGACACCGCGUCGCCGGCGACGAGCCCCGACGGGGAUGCCACGAAGCAGCAGGACUGCGCGUCCUCCGCCACGCCGCAUUCUCCUCCGCCGACGGCGGCGACGGCGGGCUGCUAGAGCACCUUGUCGAGCGUGGCGCGGAGGCCAGCGGCGACGGCCUCGUGGCUCCUGGCGACUCCCAGCCACGCCUGGCCCUCCCCGGCCAGCUGCCGGAGCCGCUCCUCCAGAUCCGCGCCGCGGCGGCGGGCGCGCUCCAGCUCUGCCUCCGCGGCGCGGAGCCGAGCCUCCGCCGCGCGGCCCACGGCUGGCUCACGGUCCAGCAUCAUGGCAACGUAGAGCGGCAGCACAGCCGUGAGCACUGGUCGGGCGUGAAGAUGCGCUACCACCGGAUCCUCCCAAGAGUUUGUUUCUCUGCAGAGAACCCAUGGUCAUGCGACGAGCCACGACUCAUCGACGAAAGCCGCUUCACUGCAAGUCUGCAACAUGCUCACCAUCCAGCAUUGUCGUCAUCUUGUACACAAUCCUAGCUCCUCUCCUCCUUCAGACUGUUUAGGCGCUGGAACGCAGUGAGUCUCCAACUGUGUGCCUCGCUGGCCUUCUUUAGUAAUCGGGCCUUCAAGAUUGCCAUGCAACAAACGCAAUGGAGCAGACAAGCAAGCCAAGGACAAUUAGCAACUUGAAGGUAUUGGACAUGCCAUCGUAGGUGUGUGCAUCAUGGCCCAGUCGCUAGCACGAGCCCAGACAGGUUAUUGUAGGAGAAGUCUAUGGUCGUAAGGCUCUGCAUUGCAGCAAUGGUUGCCGAUAUUUCUCCACCAAGGUGGUUCCGGGACAGGUUCAGGUAGUUGAGUAUUCGGCUAUUAAUGGUUAUUUCGACUGAGGUCCAGGUAGGUGAGCAAGCGGUACUUCCCAUCUCCGGCGACGCACCAGUGCCGGAAAUCGGCAGGAAGCUACCGGACAGGGAGCCG
rnacentral:misc_RNA from 1 species